rnacentral:lncRNA from 1 species
AGCGUAAAAGCAAAAUAAAUUCAUACAUACUGUAAUACAAUAAGCCAGAGUAUUUAAUUUAAUUUACAAUAACCGAUGGGCCCCCGAAUAACCAAAAGUAAGAAAAACUGUGAACCUACAGUUUGGAGGAUGUAAAUCAGAUAGUAGCCUCGAUGAAAUCAGCUAUCUACAGCCUAUUCUGAGCUUGAAAUGGGUGGAAAGGAGGGUGGUGAGAUUAUAUAAU